CCUUCGAGCCGCGACCCAUUUCUUUCUCGGGACUCCAUCUCCCGAGCCCGGUACUUAAGCGGUGUCGCCGGUCUCCGCGGCUCCUGAAUCCCGCAGCUUCAGGGCGGAUCGUGGCUGGCUGGCCACCCCCCGCAGGGCCGCGUGGGAGUGGGCUCUCCUCGACCCUUUGUUCUCCCUCCUGACGCAGCAGCCGCAAGGAGGAUGGCCAUGUCGCUUGGAGCCUGUCAUGACUGUAGAGUCAGGGCUUCCGUAUAAAGUCUGAGUUUCUUCUCUCUGAUCCCAGAAGUAUCUGAGGCUGCUCCAGAGUUAUUGACAACCUCUCAUCUGUGCCUUCUCAAGGCUCUGUCCUUCUUCCAAGACAGAGCAUAGUGGAAGAAGAGGAGGGAAUGAUCCCUGGGCUUCUAACAGCCAGGUCUCGGGUAAGUUAGGGGUUUUUCCUCUCCUGAAAUAUUCUCAGUUCUCAGAGUACGGCUGCUUUUUGUUCUGUUCUCCUUGGUCUUUCCUGCCCAUCCAAAUUCUGUACAGAGACCUGAACCCUAAUUGCUUUCUCUAAGAAGGCAGCAUAUUUCGGCAAAUGAAGUAGUUAUUUGUAAGAGUUAAAGGGAACAUUAGAGAUUAUCUCGUACGACCUCCUUAUUUGGGCCCUUGACAUGAAGUGAUGGGCUCAGUAUUUCCAGAGGUUGGAUUUGGACUAGGUUUCUCAACCUCCAGUUCUGUACUUUUUCCACUAAACCACAGGACUCUGUAGAAAAUGCCCGUCAUUGUCUCCUUUAAUGUUCUUCCUCAGUAUCCCUCUCCUCUCUACGUGAGUUGGUUAUUCAUUGAAGCAUUAUAGCAGAGCAGAAAGAGGGCUGGAUUUGGAGUGGGCGAAGAUCUAGACUUGCCAUAGGCUUCAUUUGACUUUUUGGAUUAUGUUUGCCCGUUUGUAAAAUGGGGAUAAUACUAUUCCUAAUGUUUACAGUACUGGUUCACCCCAUUAGUUCAAAUAAUAAAGCCCCCUGAAGUGGUCA
rnacentral:lncRNA from 1 species